UGGGGGAUAUUGCACAAUGGGCGAAAGCCUGAUGCAGCGACGCCGCGUGGGGGAUGAAGGCCUUCGGGUUGUAAACUUCUUUUGCUCUGAACAAGGCAUGCUAAUGGGUGUGUUGAGUGUAGGGGUUGAUUAGCGCCGGCUAACUACGUGCCAGCAGCCGCGGUAAUACGUAGGGCGCGAGCGUUGUCCGGAAUUAUUGGGCGUAAAGGGCUUGUAGGUGGCUGGUUGCGUCUGUCGUGAAAGCUCAUGGCUUAACUGUGGGUUUGCGGUGGGUACGGGCUGGCUUGAGUGCAGUAGGGGAGGCUGGAAUUCCUGGUGUAGCGGUGGAAUGCGCAGAUAUCAGGAGGAGUACCGGUGGCGAAGGCGGGUCACUGGGCUGUUACUGACACUGAGGAGCGAAAGCAUGGGGAGCGAACAGG
rnacentral:rRNA from 1 species